rnacentral:pre_miRNA from 1 species
UGUAAACACCCUACACUCUCAGCUGGAAUUAAUGUUAGCUGGGAGGGGGUGUUUGCUGC